rnacentral:rRNA from 1 species
UUGCCUACGGGACGCAGCAGUGGGGAAUAUUGGGCAAUGGGCGCAAGCCUGACCCAGCAACGCCGCGUGAAGGAAGAAGGCUUUCGGGUUGUAAACUUCUUUUCUUGGGGACGAAGAAAGUGACGGUACCCAAGGAAUAAGCCACGGCUAACUACGUGCCAGCAGCCGCGGUAAUACGUAGGUGGCAAGCGUUAUCCGGAUUUAUUGGGAGUAAAGGGCGUGGAGGCGGGAUUGCAAGCCCGAUGUGAAAACCACGG